AUCUUCUGUUAAUCUUGAGAAAUGAAUCAUUAUGAAAAAAGAUUCGCAGUUGGUAGGAUUCGAACCUACGCCCUCAGAGAGGAAUUGAUUUCUAGUCAAUCGCCUUAACCACUCGGCCACAACUGCACAUACCAAAUCAUAAUUUUUAAGCAACUUAUUCAUCACUGUAAAAAGUCUUGAAUGUUUUACGCUACAUGAAAACCAAUAAAUAAAGUUUUCCACGUUGGGAAAAGGGCGUUGAAUCAUCACUUCUGCUUCUGCCUAUCUGGCUGCUUCUGUAUUUAGGUUGAGGAAUGUGUUAGAGUUCACAUCAACAAACAAAUCAAUACAAGUAUUCCUUGGUGUUCAGGGGCUAUCCAAUGUUCAGAAAUUAAAUUCGUUCACAGUUAACAUCAACUAGGAAAAUCGGAGGAAACAGUUGUACACUACGUAUUAAUUUUGAGACCCCCCCCCCCUAAUUUGGGGAUCGGACCCCAACUCACCCUACCCUAUAAACGUACUACGUAACAUUUUAUGAAUAGCCCCUCAUUUAGGAUCACACUGUGUUGAUUGCCAGAUAGAGUAGACACACAUGAGUCUGAUCCAAAUUUUUUCAAAAAAGUUUAAAGAUAACAAAUAAAUUUGAUAUCAUACAGGCUUGAAACUACUAGCUCACUGCUCACGCAGUAAUUGUAUCCAAAAUGUAACCCAAAUUUCCUGCAAAAGAAUCGAAUUAUAUUUUAUUUACAACAGCAGCAGCUUCACUCGCUUGUGAAUCAUGGGAAAUUCAACCAAUAAGGAUGAACGGAAGUGAUCGUAAAAUUUAGCUAUCAAGAUUGCAGACCAGUUUGCAAUUCCCGAUUGACGUCAACGGCAGCUGCUUGACAUUCAAAGAGUGUCAACAACACACACAAUAAGAGAAUAAACUACUGCUGGUAGCACACAAAAUCUUCACUAUGGAUACCACAGUCUGUCGGGGUUGGCUAGGCGACAGCGACAAGGACGUUGCAUCGAUCAACGGUACACAUACAGAUUCUAGCAUUCGAACAAGCACAAAGGCCCAUCCAAAAGAUUUUAUUUCUCCUAGCCCUUCUAAAAUAUGGAAAUGAGAAGAGUGUAUUCAAUUGUACAGCCCUUCUUCUGCAGUAAAUAUAGAGUUUUAAAAAUAGA